rnacentral:siRNA from 1 species
UAAAACACUUCUUGAUGCGGCGAA